GGUGCACACGUGUAAAUGAGCUGUCCAUCUGUAAUGGACUUAGCGAAGUUUACCUAUUUUCAAAAGCGGCAUUUUCUGCUUCUGAUUUUUUCAGCUGAGCACAAACGAUGGAGAACGUCAUCCAUUUCGUUUUCGGGAUUUUGGGGAAUAUUUUUGGAACACUUCUGUUCUUGGCGCCUGCAAUUACAUUCUACCGCGUUAUUAAAAAGGGUUCAACAGAGGAGUUCUCUGGGCUUCCAUAUGUGACUGCUCUGUUCAAUUGCCUUCUUUACACUUGGUAUGGGCUGCCCUUGGUCACAUCUCAUAAUAUUCUGGUCUCUAUAAGUAAUGGAAUAGGGGCUGCCCUGGAAAUCACCUAUGUCACACUCUAUUUGGUGUAUGCUCCUCCAAAAUACAGGACCAAAAUUUUGGUGCUGUUCGUUGCAGAGUUGGUAUUGUUUGCCGCCAUUGUUGUUAUAUCACUCACACUUCUUCAUCACACUCCUCGCUCGCUUUUCGUUGGAGUAAUUGCUGCAACUCUUUCAGUCUGCAUGUAUGCCGCCCCACUCUCUAUAAUGAGAACGGUGAUUCAGACAAAGAGCGUGGAGUUCAUGCCCUUUUUUCUGUCAUUAUUUGUAUUUCUGUGCAGUCUCUCAUGGUUUAUAUAUGGCAUUAUUGGCAGAGACUUAUUUGUGGCGGUUCCAAAUGGAUUGGGAACAGUAUUAGGCGUGACACAGCUUGUGUUAUAUGCGAUAUACAGGAAGUCUAAGCCAACCAGACAGACUGAGGACUCCAAAGCUGAUACACAAACUUGAUCUGCAUGCGAAUUACAUAUGUAUAAACUGCUUUUGGAAAAAUUUAUUAUUUGAAGCAUUCAAGUUCCAGGUUAAGAUGAAUUUGUGUUAGUCCUCAUCUAUCAAUUCAGAACUGCUUGGAAAAGGCCUACACCACUGACAGAAGAAAGGUAAACAACAGAUUGCUCAUUCCAUCCAUACUGGGCUUGAAAAAGGCCUAUACCACUAGCAGAAGAAAGGUAAACAACAAAUUGCUCAUUCCAUCCAUAAAUUUCAGUACGUUGAGUUGCAAUUACUUUAAGCAUUGUUUCCAUGGCAUUCAAUACAUGCUUCCUUCCUUUUGUAUUCUGAGCUCAAUUUCGUAAAUUUUCUGAAUUUCCUGAAUUUUUUUAUGAUUGUUUGCUAGAAGACUCUCUUUGGACUAAUGCAAAAUAUGUAAUUUGUCCGUUCCAAUAUGCCCAAAGCGAGCAAUAGUGUUUAAGUCAAAGACAAGCAUGCUUUUGGCUUGGCAAUGCCAGGUGAAAUCAGCACCCAAUUCACACCACAUCCCGACUACUAAACAUGGAAAGUAUACAGCAUUUAUAACAAUCAAACCAUAUAUAUAAUAAGCAUAAUAUUGUUAAUAUUGUUAUAAGAACUCAAGGGACUGGAAAACUAGCAGACAGACAUAACAUGGAAUUGGAACCCUUGAUUUCAGAAAUGUAUAACCAGCUUGAAAUCCACCAUUUUUAUAUUGUGAUGUAUUUAUAUGCAAGCUAAGAACACAAAGGGCGGUGCCACAGCAACAUAGAUUACUAGCAGGUUGAAGAACAUUCACGAACAACCUUCUCAAUGCCAUACAAUCAAAGGGACCCAUAAAAGCAACGGGGCUUUCACCAGUGAUUUAAACUUUGAAAGAUUCCUAUACAAGCUUUAGUGGGGUUCUAAAACAUAUAGAAUAGAAUCAACCAUGUGCUCAUUAAAUUGCAAAAAGAUGGAGAAUCCAGUAAAAGAUGAAAAGGAUAUGUGUCAAGCAUUGCUUUUAGUUUUAGGAAUACUGUAAAAAAUUCUGCACUAUAAAUACAAUUGAGUCCCUACUGUUCUCACCAUCAGCUAACAAUGACUGGUUGCUCAUGUAUCACAUGUCCUUUCAUUAAUGAGCUGGUCAUGAAUAUACAAUGUGUGUGUGCAUGGUAUCUUGUGAGAUUUGAGGUCCUUUAAAUUUUAAUAAUAAGGUAUGAGUGCCAAUUUUGCAGCAGUCAAGAUCUCUUUUACAAAUUAAUUGAAGGUUUUCACUUAUCAUUCCCAUUUUUCUUGCCAAAAUAAAAUCUAAUUGUACCUCUCAGUCUCAUCUUUACUGUCAAAUGUCAUAAGUAUGACUUGCAUAAAGAUGCAUAACAAGGUAAGGGCUUGGGAAGUUCAAAGAUAAUCUUGUAUAACAAGAUCAAUUGGGCUGAAAGACUGUAAAGUGUAGACACAUGAUGCGUGAUCAGUGAACAUAGUAUCAGCACUAAAAUGAAUGUUGGAUAUGCAUUGCAGCCAAUGAUUUAGUGCUGAAGUGUAUUUUUAUCGGAUUUACAGUUUACUUAUCAACAAGAAAAAGAUCGAAAGGACUAAAGAAAAGAAACCAGAUAUGCUACAAUGAAUUCAGUCCUAAAGUUUGGUGGGCCCAUGAAUCUUUAAGAACAGAUAGUAGUGGAUGACUGAGCAUUUACAGUGUGGUGCUACCUCUUAGUAACAAAAGAAUUUUCUAUUUGCAUUUUUUGGUUUAGCACUUGUAAAUUUGACAGUUAUAGUCUUUCACUCCUCGAAUUUUAUUUACAGGGAAGCUCCCUAGUACAUUUAUACCUUCAACAAAGUAGGUUUCAUUUUUUCCCUUCCACUGACAAGAACUUGGCAUGUGGACAGAAGAUUUGAAGUGCAGAAAAAUUGUAAAAUAAAAGUUCCAAAAUUUACUGAAAACCAUCCAUUUAUUAGCAAGAGACAUACUUGAAAAUUUUGCUUUUACCUCUCCCCCUCCUGAAAAUAGCUGAGCACGAAAGCAAAGUGCAAGUCCCCAGUUAUACAAAGACCUUACAUCAUAUUUAUCCAACAGCAAUGCUCUCCGGUACUUCCUUCCAGCUUCAACUAGAAGCUUAUCACACUCUUCACACACCUGAUGUAAAGUUUCUGCAAUUGUGUCUCUGUCCAUCAUAGCUAGCCUCAACUCAUCAGGCUGGUAUCUCUGCGCCUUCUUAGACAAGGAAUAAUUUCUCGAUUGAAGCAAACUCCUUAGUUCCUGGCUUAGUUUUAGUUUAAGUUCUCCAUGAACAAGCAAGGUGUUCCCCACUGUCCUACAGCUACCAAGCUUGAAGGGUCAAGAGCAGAAGCUGUAGAAAAUAUAUCUGCAGCCUCAUAUAGCAUGCCUUCAGCAUCAACUACUUCAGAUUUCCCUUGCAAGCCUUUUUUAGCAUCUUUCAUAAGGGCUCCUCCCUUGUCUAGACACAUUUGAAAGAACUUCUUUACGUUUUCUGAGAAUGGUAAAUCUUGGGCCUUGGGAGUUUCUGAAUGCUCUGAUUGACUUGAAUUGGCUGCAACCUUUCUCCGGCUAACUGCAGCUUGGGUGUAACAGUCAGAAUCAGAAUUGUCCACCAGAGACUGAUAUAAUUGACCAAAUGCAUAACAUAUUGAACCAGAUGCAUAGAAAGUCAUUCCAAAAUCAUAUAUCUAAGGCCUAAAAUAAAUAUUUAAACUCCUUGAAAGUUAGAGUAAGUCAUAAUAUAUAUUAAUUGUGCCCUUCUCCAAAUUAAAUAUAUGGUAAGUCAACCAAAAGCAUUAUUGUCUAACCAAGUACAUAGAUCUAAAUCUAUAACAUUUAAAAAAUAAAUUUGUCUAACCAAGUACAUAGAUCUAAAUCUAUAACAUUUAAAAAAUAAAUUUCUCUCAGAAUUUUGUUAAAUUUGUUAAAUUAGGGAUUCAGUUUUAAAUAAAUUUCUCUCAGAAUUUUGUUAAAUCAUUCUCACUAAGAAUGUGAGGAUGUCAAAUAUUGAAAUGUGAAUUAUAUAAAAUACAAUGCAACAAAAGAUCCAAAUUCACACUCGCUCUCACUCAAUAAAGCCUAAUAUCUACACAGAGAAUAAAAUGAUUAUCAAUGAUACCAUUGCAAAAAUGUUAGAUUUCCUCUUUGAUAUAUACUUGAAUGCUUGAAAUGUGGGUUAAACAAAACACCCCACUGAUUAAGCAACUUUUUCAGCCAUAAAUAAGCCGGCCAUAGGAAUUAUUUCAAAAAGAAACUAGAGUGCAUAUAUAUACACUAAUAAUCUAUAAUUUAUGGCUGAGCAUAGUCCACCAUAAGACAAGAUGUAAUCAUACCUCCACCAUAAGACAAGAUGUAAUCAUACCUCCACCAUACCUGCUUCAAACGGAAAGAUAACAACUUUUUCAACAUAGUCCAAUUAUGCCUGCAAUCAGAAUACUAAGUACAGUCAGUCUGUUUUACGUUCUAGAAUCUAAGGAAAAUAGACUUUAGCUAAUUCUCAAAUAUGAAGUGCAGUAGCAUAAAAGACGCAGUCAGUCUGUAAACAUUCUAGAAUCUAAGGAAAAUAGACUUUAGCUAAUUCUCAAAUAUGAAGUGCAUUAGCAUAAAAGACGAAUUAUUAAUUUCUAGAUACCUUGUUAACCAUGGAUUUGGAAAGGCCUACACUGCUGGCAUAAGGGAGGUAACCACUAGAUUACUUUUUCUACCAACCCUUUUAUGUUUCAGUUUUAUGUUUCAGUUUGUCAUCUGAUCUAUAUGUUAUAUUGUUCUAUUGCAGGCUUAUUUUCAUGUAGUUGCAUCUAUAAUCCAAUAAUGGCUGCUCUGAAGAAGAUAAUUUUUUUUUGCAGAUUCUAACAAAUCUACAAAAAGAAUUUCUACCUUCUAUAUUGUAUGCUUCAGCAAUUAAGAAUAUCAACUCUCGAAAAUCUGUAGGUCAAUCAUGGAAAAGGGAGGACAUAUCAACUCUCGAAAAUCUGUAGGUCAAUCAUGGGAAAGGGAGGACAUAUCAAUCAUGGAAAGGGAGGAGAUAUUGAUGAUUGUAUUUAACCAUCUACUGGGAUUUUCCUGUAGUUGCAUCUAUAAUCCAAUAAAGGCUGCUCUGAAGAAGAUAAUUUUUUUGCAGAUUCUAACAAAUCUACAAAAAGAAUUUCUACCUUCUAUAUAAUAUACUUCAGCAAUUAAGGAUAUCAACUCUCGACAAUCUGUAGGUCAAUCAUGGAAAGGGAGGAGAUAUUGAUGAUUGUAUUUAACCAUCUACUGGGAUGAUUGGGAUGAUUAGUACGGAACUUACAAACUUGUCGUUUCAUAAUGUCUACGUUCAUCAUCCCAUUGUGAUGAAAGAAACUGAUGCUCUUUCUAAAUAUGCUCUAAGCAAAUAGUUAAAUGUUAUUCUACAAGUCAUGAAGCAUUUAAAGGCUUGCACUACUACUAAGGGGUCAAUUGUGCUCUUUGUUAUAAUGUUAAAUUUGAUUUGUAAUACUGUGCAUUCAGUGCUGUAUCUCUUUUUUAUCAUAAAUAAAAGAAACAAUGGUUUAUCCUC